rnacentral:rRNA from 1 species
GUUUGAUCUCAAAUCAGGUAGGACUMCCCGCUGAACUUAA